rnacentral:lncRNA from 1 species
AGAACAAUGCGGGAGUUGCAGAGAGAGGUGUCCUGUGUUUGUUCCCAGUCUUCCUUCACUCACCUGCACCUGCUCCUGCCCUGCUUCGGCCAACAUGUUCUAUGCAGGCAGCAGAGUUCAUAUCAAGGGCCCAUGUUUUAACUGAAUAUAAUGAAUUUUUUUUUUCACCUUGGAAGAGUCUUAGAGGCAAGAUUAGAAUGUUCAUCUAAAAGGAGUGCAAAUUUCUUCAACCAUUCCCACGGAGGAAGGUGAGCUCAGACUCACUUUCAUCUGUCCCUCUCCCCCAUGUGCUUGGCCAGGGUAAGGGACCUCAGGAGGGCCCCCCCAGUCUCCCAGACAGCUGACUCUCCCUGUGUAAAUAAUUCUAAUGCUCUCAGUUAUUCACUACUCAUCUGAGCCACCUAUUGAACUAUAAGCUUCAGAAUUAGCUUUGUACAACCCACACCCAGCACAGGGUCUGGCAUUUAUAUGUGUUCAUAAAUGCAACAAAUAAACAUUUAUUAAAAUGCA